rnacentral:hammerhead_ribozyme from 1 species
AUCCAGUUGACGAGUCCCAAAUAGGACUGAACGCGCGACCAGGAU